rnacentral:rRNA from 1 species
GACGAACGCUGGCGGCGUGCUUAACACAUGCAAGUCGAACGGAAAGGCCCUGCUUUUGUGGGGUGCUCGAGUGGCGAACGGGUGAGUAACACGUGAGUAACCUGCCCUUGACUUUGGGAUAACUUCAGGAAACUGGGGCUAAUACCGGAUAGGAGCUCCUGCUGCAUGGGGGGGGUUGGAAAGUUUCGGCGGUUGGGGAUGGACUCGCGGCUUAUCAGCUUGUUGGUGGGGUAGUGGCUUACCAAGGCUUUGACGGGUAGCCGGCCUGAGAGGGUGACCGGCGACAUUGGGACUGAGAUACGGCCCAGACGCCUACGGGAGGCAGCAGGGGGGAAUAUUGCACAAUGGGCGGAAGCCUGAUGCAGAAGCGCCGCGUGCGGGAUGACGGGCUUCGGGUUGUAAACCGCUUUCGCCUGUGACGAAGCGGGAGUGACGGUAAUGGGUAAAGAAGCACCGGCUAACUACGUG